AUGGACCAAGCGAAUCACGCUGGAACAUCAACGAGCUCACCUUUGCAAUGUGCAGCCGUGGGACGCAUAGACGUAUUUCUUACAGUUUUUCAAGAUAUCCCUAUGCGGAGUGGAUUCCCGGAGCUGCAGACUCAAAGGCGAGAGGGAGGCUGGGGAGUUCAGAGUCAGGCAGCUUCAUCUAUCCGGGACUGUGUGAUAAUUCAACUCCUGGUGGAGAAAGACAAGGGAAUGGGCACCUGCAGAAGAGGACAACUCAGGGGUACUUUGUCCUAUAACAACCCACUGUCACUAAAACAGACCCCUCCCAGCCAGGGAUCUAGCUCAGUGGUCCCACCACCUGCCUCGCAAGCGGAAGGGCCCGAGUUCCAUCCCCAGUGACAAAAAAGAAAAAAAAAAAGGACAGACCCCUCCCAUGAGGAAGACAUACGUCCCCCUGACCACCAGUCACCUCAUAGAGGCCCAGUCCCAACACAGCCUCAGUGACAACCAAAUUCCAACGUGAGUUUAGGUGGGGACUCCUCCUUAAGCAGUGAUGUCGUUCCAAAGCCUUCCCAAUGGAAGUGGAAAUUAAACACAGUCAUACAACAUGAUGCAUUUCCUGUAAGAAUCACAGCAACUGAUGGAUUCUUUUGUUUUUUCUUUUAAGUGUACUGGUUUCCUGAAGCUGUCAUAUCAAUGCCACCAGCUGUGCAGCUUAAAACAACGAAGUUUAUCAUCUCAGAACUCUGGCGAACAGACGUUCACAAUCAAGGUGUCGGCAGGGCCACGAUCUUUCUGCAGCCUUAGCCUCAUCCUGACUUCCGCUGUGGGGCCACCAGUCCUUAGCACUCAUUGGCCAUCAGACAUGUCAAUCUAGUCCAUCUCUGCUGUUGCAAGGUCCCUCUGUGCAUCUGUCUUCACGUGGCAUUUUCCCAUCUUCUAAGGCCCCACCCUAAUGACUUCAUCUCAACCUGGCUAUGUCUGCAAAGAUUCUAUUUCCAAAUAAAGUGCCGUUCACGGGUACUAGGGUUUAGGACCUCCACACAUCAUCUUGGAGGACACAGUUCAACCCAUAAUGGAUCCCUAGGAACCUUUUUAAAGAAGUGUUAGAAACUUGGCCUUGGUGGGCAAUGCAAAAGGAAAGACUCUGGCUAGAUGGGUUUGUGACUUGCUCUUGAGACUCCAAGGUGAGGAAGAAAUUUGAACCAUGGCUAACCCUGAUCCAUUGCACACAGUGUUGAACAGAAAUGGAACCAGCUUUGGUCUGAAAUUUAAUGCACAUUCAUAUGAAGUUAGAAAUCCACAAGUCAUCUUUUCCUUCCUCCUCCUCCUGAUCCCCAACAUCUGAUUAAUCUGUUUGUAGGUCCCUGACCUCAUUCAUGACUUCAACAUGUACAAGUGCUUAUAAUGGGGCUAUUCACAGUAAAGCCAUCCUCCAUUGAAAAUAUCCCGAGUAGAAACUGCACUGAAUACACCCGAGCCCUCCAAACACUCCACACAGCGCACUGUGAGUACUGGUUGCUUCCCUCCUGGUGGCGGGGAUGACAGGGGGGAGCCGUAGCUUGGACUGCUGCCAGUGUCAUAGGGACCACCCUAUUGCACAUCACUAGCCUGGAGGACGUCCACAAUGCAC
rnacentral:lncRNA from 1 species